rnacentral:lncRNA from 1 species
AUGGCAUGUCACGGGGUACACUAAUGAAAAAAGGUUGGGAACCACUGCCAUAGAUGAUGCCCUGAAGAGUGGUUUGAGAAGGAUGUAAUUGUUCAAAUGUGAUGAAGAGGCAAAUGUACAAUGUUGUCUUUUUUGGACAAAUAUGUUGGGGUCUUGUGCCACUGUUAAGUUUAGCCUGAGCAAAUUUUGUUUUCCAGUUUUAGUAUUGUAAAUACUGAGGUCCAUAGAUGUACAUUUUUAUUUACUAAGACCAUUGUUUUUAUCACCUUCUCCCAACUCCAUCUCACCAAUCCCCUGUUCAAAAGCCUGAGCAGUUCCAGGCAUAUUCAUGGUAAUGAUAUAAGUCGCAUGAUUUUUAUAAAAAAGAAAUUAAUAUUAUAAUUAAUUUUUUUGAAGGCUUAUUAUUUCUUUGUAAGUGACAUUUAUUUCUAUUAUCUAAUUUUUUUAAAAAUAGUUUUUUGUUAAUGCAGUUGAACUUUGUUGUGCUCAAAGCUGCUUGUCCUAUUCAAUUGUACUUCUUAAGUCUCAAAACUCAAGUGUAGGACUUAACAUGCAGGAUGAGUGUUUAAAAGAGAAUCACAAAAUUAAUCACUUUGAAUUGUUGUCUAGAAUAUAUUUUGGGUCUAAAUUCUCUUCAGUUGUUGACUACUACUACUAUACUCAGGGCCAGUUAUUUUUAAUAAAGUCACAAGACAAAAUAUAUUUUUAAUUUAAUAUUAACUAAUGGGGGUGCUUUUGACAGUGCUGGCUGUUGAUGUGUUUUUUUACGUCUUACUGUUAUGGUCUACAAUUCAGCUGUUUGCCAUUAAUUGAGUUUACUGAGGAUGUUGUUUUCUACUGUAAUACUUUAUUUUUUAAUUUUGUUCUUUUUACUUAUUAUUGGAGGGGUUGAAUUUAAUCCAGGCCUAAUGUCUUAUCCCCAUAAUAAAGCUUAGAUUUCUACUGAGAAAUGUCGUCAAUUGCCAAACGAACCAACAUUGAAAUUGUCUUGACUGGACGAUUAUUUUGCAUCGCAGGAUAUUUCUCCUCAAAUACCUCAGAAGAUUCUGAGGAAUGUUUUGAUACUAUUUUAUCGAAACUGGAAGAAUUGUCAAUGUUCGACCAGUUGUCUAAUUUGUGUAAGGAGUAUGAAGAAUGACUAACAUUCCUGGAAGGAGAAGUUAAUGAACUUUCAACUUUUAGAACUGUAUGUAUGGAUAAUUUUUCUCUUCAGACUCUGUAUACAACAAUUUGAAGGAAAAUAACAUUAUCAUUUCUGGUUUGAGUAGUAGUGAUUAAAGAAUUAAUAAUGCUGACUGCUUUAUUGAGUUGUUUAAAAGACAGAAUGGGGAGUCUAUUCCUUUUAUUAACAGUUAUCCAAUAUCAGUAACUCUGCUUGUAUUGUUUGAGCUCUAUACUCAAGCUAACAAAAGACUUAUUUGUAAAAAUUUAAAGAAAAUUCAGGAGUAGCCAUCCUACUCAUGCAUUAGAGUUUUUGAUGAUUUGUUGUAUAGAUCAGGACUAAUGUUUAAAUAUUUAAAAAUUUGGAACACAGCUGUAUUCUACGGUUAGUACUUUUUAAAUGAUAGAACUGUUUUUUUUUUUUGUGUGUUUCAUACAUUUCUGAGGAGGGCUUCUAAAAGACAGCCAAAAACGUUUGAACAUUACAAUUUUUGUUCAUUCAAUGCUGGAAUUAGCAUUUAGGUGUUAAUUGUUGUGUCUGCUUUUAUUGAUCUCAAGAAGGCUUUUGAUACAGUCAAUCAUGAUUUGUUAUGGUAUAAGCUUAGGAAUAUAGGUUUUUUUGCAUUUUUUUUUUGUUAAUUUACUUAAGAGUCUUUUCUCUAAUACAAGAUAUCUUAUAGAGAUUUUUUCAUUUUGUAUUGAUUAUGUUGAGUCCAAUAGUGUGUUACCUCAAGGAGAACCAUUGAGUCCUAUCUUUUUAUUUUGUUUUUGAAUGAUUUUCCUGACCUUCUGAGAAGUCAAAGCUCUAUGAUAGCAUUGUCUUCUUGUGUUGAAAUUAACUGUCUUUAUGCUGAUGAUGUCCUUCUCUUGGCUAAUUCAACUUCUGUACUUAGGGGAAGACUCAAUCUUAGGCCAGGAACACACAUGCGUAAAAUUCGGCGUAAAAUCUAGCAUAAAACAGAAAACGUAAAAAUUUUUCUGAAAUUUUGGCUGAAACAAAACUGAAAAUAGAGUAGAGCAUGUCUCUACUUUUUACGCCGAAACAUUUUUACGCCAAAAUUCCUCCAAUAAAGAGAAGUCUUUCCUGUGACGUCGAAGUAGACACGUGGUUUUUAUUCUAACAAUGGCGGCAAUGAGGGUUAACCCUACAAUUGUGAUGGUCUCGAAAAAACGAAAAAUAAAUGAAAUAGAGGAGUUUAUUGAAUCCGUUCGACCAAAUCAGUGUCAUGUAUAAAGACACUGUAUUUAAACAACGUUUAUGGAUGGCUACAGGUGUUAAAUUUCAAAUAACAGCAGAGGAAGUGUAGAAAAAAUGGAAGGUACAAAGGAAUAGAUAGCCUAUAUGAGAGGAAAAAAUUAAUAAAAUUAGUACUGUUGGUGGCAGUGGUGUUUUCUAUUCGGCCAGAAUUUUUACGUAUGUGUGUUCUGGCAUAAAAGCGUAAAA